ensembl:lncRNA
GAAGAACUACGCACACGGGGGGAAAACUGCAAAAGAUGCUAUGGCGACAAGUUCAGCUCCUCCCCGACUCGUCGAGAGGGAAAAAUGCAAGCGUCGAAUAUGGAAAUACUUCGCAUUCGAGGCGGAUAAAAACAGACAUAUAAUUGAUGCUCUGAAGCCGGUGUGCAAACGAUGCCAUCGUUCACUUCAAACAAAGGGAGGAAACACCUCGAAUUUGGCGAAGCACCUGAAAGACAGGCACCCCGAUCUCUUCAAAGAAUUCAAGAUGAUAACAGCCAGAGGAGGAUGUCCACCAGGAGAGUCAGGAGCAAAGUCAGCAAACAUUAACACAGCCAACCUUAAGAGCAGCUUAUAAAAGGCACAGAAAACAUGACAAAAACUCAACGAAGAAAGGAAACUGGACAGGGCAGUUUCUGAAUUUAUAUUCAUGGAUCAAGUUCCUGUCUACACUGUAGAAAAGCAUGGAUUCCAGCAAAUGCUUCAGCAGUUCAACCCCAGAUACCAGCUACCAAGCAGAAAUUACUUCAUGUAUACAGAGUUCCCCAAACUAUACACCGAAACCAGAGACCUCAUUUCAGAACCUCUCAAAGAAAAAACAUCUUAUGCCUACAUAUUGUAAGGGAAUUAGCCCGGGAAGGGCGGAGCACAGACCCACAAGAGACAGGUUUUAGUCAAUACGGGGGUUUUAUUUGUCUGUGUGAGUGAGUGUGAGGGGUCUUGUGGGGGUGUGGCUGGCAUGGUGACGUUCUCGAGGGCGUGUCGGGGCUCGCAAGAGGUGUGUGUGGGUUUCCCGUGCCGUCAUCCACCGUUGAACGCGAUGUCACCAGCCGGCGGUCUUGUCCGCACUCGCACGUAGUCUGUCUCUUAACCGUUCUCCUCGCAGGGGCAGAAGAGCGUCCUUUUAUACUCUUCCGCCGUUGCCUGAGUGGUGGAAUUUUCCCGACGGAUUCCCCAAUCGCCGGCCGGUGUAGCGUCGACGGUCCCGCCCCACCGUGACGGUCCUUCCGGGCUGAUGGUGUGUUUGGCACGAGGCUGUCUGCUUCGUGUCUGCGCGGCAGUCGGGGAAGGAGCGAUUUUCUUAUCAUGCGCGCCGGCUGUCGGUCCGUCGCGACAAUAUUUAUUAUAUAUCUAUUUUGUAAUUCCUUUUUUAGAUUAUGUGACUGUUGACACUAUUGUAUUUUGUGUUUUAUAAUGCUCAAAUGUUUAAAUAAAGGAAUUAAUGUUUAAGUAUUAUUUAUUUAUUUUUACACACUGUGGUAUCGACUUUGGUCUUGAGUAUCGUGUAUUUUUGCUGAUAUCGGUACCAACUACUGGAUUUAUGGUAUCGUGACAUCCCUAGUUAUGAAUACUCUGUAUCUGUGGGAUUGUCCUCCUGUACUGAUGUUCC